rnacentral:lncRNA from 1 species
UUAUUUUUUUUUGGGGGGGGGGAGGAUUUCAAAUCAUUUUUCCUAGGUCAACUUUAGUUAGAGGACGGACACCACAUGAAUACAUUAGUACAUGCACAUAUAUACUUGAUAGUGACAAAAUCUACAAAUAAGCAUGCUCUUGGUUUUUUCAAAAUCAAAUAUGAUAUGCAGAGUGGUUAUUUCUUUAUUGAAGGCUGUACCUAUUACUAUAAAC